rnacentral:lncRNA from 1 species
AUGAACUUAACCUGCUAAAUUAGCUCCUAGAUAUUGUAUCAUGUCUAAUCUCUUUCUGCAGGUACUGGUGCUGGAUAUUUUUGGAUAGCAGAUGGGGGAAAACAAGAAAAAGUACUCAUGGUGCAUUAGUCAUCUGAGGUCCAGUCCUGUCCUCUACAUACCCAGAGGAAUUGAAUACUGGCAGCAUAAGCAGCAUGUGCUGUCACAUCAGAUACGGCUUUCUGCACAUGGAGAAACUAACUAGAGUGGACAACACAGCUGCAUUUUAUUCCCAAUUUGGCUAUUGAGAUCCUGGCUGCAGGAUCUUGGGUGUCUCACUUCACAUAAUCAUUGGCAUGGCAUGUGGCAUGCUACUUGGAGACUCUGAAGACCUAGAAUCUUCAGCUCAGACUCCAGAUGAGCUCAGCUUUCCAAAAUCAGUUCUACCAACUCCUACCCUCCGGUACCAGGAUGAUCAGCAUAGCUGAAGGAUGUCACAAAAUUAUGAGAAACAGAGUCUGACUCUGUCACUCAUGUUGGACUGUAGUGGCACUAUCAUGGCUCAUUGUGGCCUCAAACUCCUGGGCUCAGGGGAUCCUGCUGCCUCGGCCUCCCAGAGUAGCCAGGACCACAGGUAUGUACCACCAUGCCUGGCUAAUUAAAAAAAAAUUUUUUUUUUUGCAGAGACGAGGUUUUUUCAUAUUGCCCAGGCUGGUCUCAAACUCCUGGUCUGAAGCAAUUCUCCUGUCUCACCCACCCAAAGUGCUGGGAUCACAGGCAUGAAAUGUCUUUGCCUGACCUCACAUCAUCUGUCUUAAAUAACACAUAUUGAGAUCUUUCUCAAAUUCAUUUUAUCAAGGAGAGAAAACAUUUCUGUGGCACUUGAUAACUGCCCAGCAGUGUUCUAACUACUGUGCAAACAUUAAUCGGCAAAAUAAUGAGGUAGCAACUAUUACUGCACCAUACCACAUUGUUCUAAGCAGGAAGCUUCUACACUAACCAAUGCAAGAGAAUAGAGAGUUCCAGAAAAUUGAUGCUGACCAAAUAAUCCCGUAGAUUCUCUCUUCCUCUCUCUCUUUAUCUCUUGUUCUUUUAACUUUUUCUGAAUUGCAUCAAGGCAUGUUAUGGGCCAAGGGCGGCCCUGAGAGUCUCUAAGUUUUAAGUUACAGAUCUAAG